ensembl:lncRNA
ACUUAAGAAAGUGAUGGACAAGAAACCAAAGGGAUGCCCAUCAGUUGGGGAAUUGCUGAACAAGUUGUGGCAUAUGGAUCUGAGGAAACAAAGACAAUAGUAUCAUUUGAGUUUUCAUGGGAAGAAAUCCAUAAACCUGGAGGGGGAAGAAAGAUGGAGAACAUUUGGUUGACGGUAAAAGCAGAAAGGGGAUGGAGAAGAAAGAGGAGUGGGAAUUGUGGGAGCAUUGCAUCUCCUCUGCCUGAAGUCACACCUUACUGGUUUACUGAUGUUCUGGAGAACUUCAGAAGGCCUUGCACUCUGGUCAAGUGGUUGAGAUUGGUUGAGAUUAAAAGAGUUCUGAGUUCUUGUUGCAAGGUGAAUAUUUACAAUGGUAGGACAAACCCUGACAGAAGAACAAAGGAUAAAGAAGUGAAAUACUUUGUCACUUUGUUAAACCACAUCUAAAGAGGAAACUUCUUUCUUGAGGAGUUGUGGGGGGUGCAGGUGAGGGGGUAGAGGAAUAUGCCUCACUGAAACAAGAAGCUUGAAGGUCUUAUAAACCAAAGAGCUAAAAUUCUUUGUGUAGAGUGGAUAUUAGGCAGAAAAAAAAAUUCAUCCACUUACCUUCUAUGAUUUACCCCUAUUGAAAAGGCGCUCCUCCUUCCUGAGGCUCCAAGUGGAAAAGAAAACUGAAACUCAUUUUUACAAAAAAGAAUUCAUUUCAGACCAAGAAUCCACAAAAGCCUGUGCCCUUGUAUGAGGUUGGUGUCCUUGUUUGCAGAAGGAAACAUUCUGAAUUCAUUAAAAGUCUGUCAGAAAGACAGAAUUUGUAGAAAUGGCCACGUUCUGCCAAAUUCAUGUCAGUUGUUAAGUUUACAUGACAUUGUCGUAAGGCACUCUACAGGCUUCUACAGACAUGCAAAGAGGCCAAAGACUUUAUUUGUGAUCCAGUCUUGUAAAGUAAGCCAAGUUACCUUAUAUACACUGAAAUCUGAAAAGCAAAAAAAAAUCACAGCUGGUUCCUGGCUCUAAAGCCAGGAGAAUACUGGGAACCUUUAUUUUGUCAAAUACGGGACUCAGCAAGUCCAAAGUACCAAGCCAAAUGAAGGUAACUGGUUUAUUUGAUGACCCUUAUUACAAAUACAUUAUUUUAAACUGCAAGAUGUAACAACACUGUCUUCAGUCAUACAUAGGUGCAUAAUCCACCAAACAGCAGUACAUCUGCUAAACAUUGAAAAAUAACAUCCCCAAAUAUCAAUUCAAGUUCAAGAACAAUUAAGAAACUAAACUUUUUUUAAAAAAAAAGUAUGCUUAAGACCUACAAGUAAAACCAAAAAUGAAAAAAAAAUGACUCCAAAUUAAAUUUCAAGCCAUUUAAAGGUAUCAUGCUUAUUGAAGUGAAUCGAAUGACAAAUCUGACUCACAUUUAAAAUGUUCUACUGUGAUUCUGAAAUCCCUGACAGACCCUAGUUCACUAAUCUCAUGUAAAGUUAUAGCAAAUGCUAAAUGAAUCUGUCUCCUACCUAACUUGGCUCAUCUUUACCGGUUAACAAAACAGAUGUGAUUUCUAAAAGUUGUUAAUGGUCUUUGUAAUGGCAGUGCCCAAGGCUGCUUUGGCUUAGUAAAGUGCUAUUUGCUGGACUGAAAUGUAGUUGUUUAUGCAUGUCAAAAUGUUUCACAAAGCCAGCUGGGUUCAUUUCAGCUCCACUUACAAAAUAAGUAUUGGCCAAUGAAACAGGCCAGGGCAGAAAGACAAACUUGCCCUGCUCUGCUGUCCGCCUGCCCCUUUGCCCCCAACCCCAAACGUUUUCAAGCUCCUGAAAGACUGACACAAACCAAACUCUUCAACUAGUCAAAUAAAGUGAAAAGGUCCAAAGAAAUCA